UAGGCUGAAACUCGCCUACAUGAAGCUGGAGUUACUAGUAAUCGCAGAUCAGAAUGCUGCGGUGAAUGCGUUCCCGGGUCUUGUACACACCGCCCGUCACACCACGGAAGUUGGGGGCGCCCGAAGCCACUUAGCUAACCCUUUUGGGAAGCGAGUGUCGAAGGUGAAAUCAAUAACUGGGGUGAAGUCGUAACAAGGUAAC
rnacentral:rRNA from 1 species